rnacentral:rRNA from 1 species
UACCUACGGGGGGCAGCAGUGGGGAAUAUUGCACAAUGGGGGGAACCCUGAUGCAGCGACGCCGCGUGGGUGAAGGAGUAUUUCGGUAUGUAAAGCCCUAUCAGCAGGGAAGAACAAUGACGGUACCUGACUAAGAAGCACCGGCUAAAUACGUGCCAGCAGCCGCGGUAAUACGUAUGGUGCAAGCGUUAUCCGGAUUUACUGGGUGUAAAGGGCGUGUAGGCGGGAAAGCAAGUCAGAUGUGAAAACCAUGGGCUCCACCUGUGGCCUGCAUUUGAAACUGUUUUUCUUGAGUACUGGAGAGG